rnacentral:rRNA from 1 species
CCUACGGGAGGCAGCAGUGAGGAAUAUUGGUCAAUGGGCGCAAGCCUGAACCAGCCAAGUAGCGUGAGGGAUGACUGCCCUACGGGUUGUAAACUGCUUUUAUAAAGGAAUAAAGUGAGGCACGUGUGCCUUUUUGUAGGUACUUUAUGAAUAAGGAUCGGCUAACUCCGUGCCAGCAGCCGCGGUAAUACGGAAGUUCCGAGCGUUAUCCGGAUUUAUUGGGUUUAAAGGGAGCGUAGGCGGGCUUUAAAGUCAGCUGGAAAAUCGCGCGGCUCAACCGGGAAUUGCAGUUGAAACUGGAGGCCUUGAGUGAACACAGGGAUGCUGGAAUUCAUGGUGUAGCGGUGAAAUGCUUAGAUAUCAUGAAGAACCCCGAGCGCGAAGGCAAGUGUCCGGGGUGCGACUGACGCUGAGGCUCGAAAGUGCGGGUAUCAAACAGGAUUAGAUACCCUAGUAGUC